GAUGAACGCUAGCUACAGGCUUAACACAUGCAAGUCGAGGGGAAACGAUAGAGAAAGCUUGCUUUUUCUAGGCGUCGACCGGCGCACGGGUGAGUAACGCGUAUCCAACCUGCCCACCACUUGGGGAUAACCUUGCGAAAGUAAGACUAAUACCCAAUGACGUCUCUAGAAGACAUCUGAAGGAGAUUAAAGAUUUAUCGGUGAUGGAUGGGGAUGCGUCUGAUUAGCUUGUUGCGGGUAACGGCCCACCAAGGCGACGAUCAGUAGGGGUUCUGAGAGGAAGGUCCCCCANAUUGGAACUGAGACACGGUCCAAACUCCUACGGGAGGCAGCAGUGAGGAAUAUUGGUCAAUGGGCGAGAGCCUGAACCAGCCAAGUAGCGUGCAGGAUGACGGCCCUAUGGGUUGUAAACUGCUUUUAUAAGGGGAUAAAGUUGGCCAUGUAUGGCCAUUUGCAGGUACCUUAUGAAUAAGCAUCGGCUAAUUCCGUGCCAGCAG
rnacentral:rRNA from 1 species